UCCGAAUUGGUGUAGGGGUUAACAUUGCCGCCUCUCAGAAUUACGUAAAUACCUGUGCAGGCGUAAGCUGAUGCGCGGCAGCCCGGGGUUCGAUUCCCCGAUUCGGAA